GUCAGGAAUUGUGGGAGUUGAAGUCCAAAACACCUGCAGGGCCCAAGUUUGCCCAUGCCUGGUUUAGAAGGCUAUCAAUGCCAGGAGAGGUCACUCACUCUUUGACCAUGUGGGCACUGGGAGACAGAAAGUAGUGAAAUCUAGGCAAUAACAUUUUAGACCCAUUAGCAAUAGAAGAAUCAAGUUUCCUUGAAAUCCAGGGUGGUUAUUUCCUGGUUGAGGUUACCUACCCCUUUAAAGACAGAAAAGGUGUAUCUUUAAAAAUACUAUCUGGAUACUGAGGCUUGUGGGAAGGAAUCCCAUGGAGUUCUGAGGGGUCAAUUUAGAUAGGUUAAUAUUUACAAUCAAAGAAGGAGAAUUUUCAAUUGGAAAUUCACAUGAACUUCAUUCCCACAUCUAACCUGCCCUAUUAGUAAUGGACUUAAUUCCAGACCUGCUUGAAACUACACUCCCUCAAGCACAACCAUGCAUCCAGUAAAUUGAAAUUACAGUGGACAUAAAUGUUGUUGCAUACCAUUCUUUCAGCCCAUGUCGGCUCACACUCUUCUGUUAUGUGUACAACUUCUGCUUUGAUAAUAUAAUGUCAGGCACUCCCUUUUAAGCCAGCAAAUAGGAUAUAAGAUAAAACAAUGUAUAUAGACUGUUUUCUAAUACCUCUACAGAUGAACCACCCUUAGAACUGUUUAUUUUUUUUUCUCCUCAGAGUGCUUUCUAGGCUAUCUGAUGUGGGAAACUGGUAAGAUUUUUCCCCAGUGUUCUAGGGAUUGGCAUCAUAUUUGUGCUCUUUGGUUAAAACCGUUCUUCAUGUUCCUGGAAAUUAGCAGCGAUCAAGUGGCCAAUGGUUUGUAGGUUGGCACUGAUCCAUGGAGCAGCACCAAACUUUGGUAUCCAUGGAGGGUCUUUGAUCCAAACUCCAGCAGAUACCAAGGGCCUACUACAAUUUCAAAGCAACAGCACUAUGGUUCAACUUACAUUUUUGUUUCCCUUGCAGUUGGGCCAGGGGGCGGAGGGGUUCAGGUGCUAAAUAGAGCAGCCUACUCUUUUUGAAUUCUUUGGACUUUGUCCCUGCUGUGCAUUGAUCUUUAUAUCUCUUGAUUAUGCAUAUCGUACUUAGUGUGAGAAAAGCUGGACAGUUUUCUUCUUUAAAAUUGUUCUCAGAAGUGCAGAAGAAACAGGCUUGCAAUCAAAUUAAUGUUGCCUGUCUUCACCUAAUAACUAUCUGUCAUGUUAUCUCUCUAAAUGUUGGUGUAAACAAUUUAUUUUGCAUUUCAGAUAACUUUCUGGAGGCUCUUAACUGUGACACUUAGUUUGGCCAAGAUGAGUAAAAGCAGAUGACUCUACUUUCCUGCCAAUCUAAAAAUAUUGAUAUAAAUCUGUCCUGGAACUUUAGAUCUGAUUUACACUAAAUUAGCAGCAUUUUUGUUUUUAAAAUUAGGACCUUUUGUUUUUUGGAAAGUAUGUUAUUUUUGCAAGAUCCGAGGUUAGCAUCAGAGGUUAAUACCAAAAGCUGCAUCUUGCUUAGUGUGUGUGUAUUUAGCAUCUAGCAAGUUACUUUAAAAUGUGGGGAGAGUUGGGAGCCAAGGCAAAUACAAGACCAAGGUUGGAUAAAAAUUGUCUUAAAAGUGUUUUGUGAUGGUGGCCUCCAAGACUGUGGGGGUUUAGUAGUUGUAUAAAUCAUCUAGUCCAAUGGUUCUCAACCUGUGGGUCCCCAGAUGUUUUGGCCUUCAACUCCCAGAAAUCCUAAUAACUGGUAAACUGUCUGGGAUUUCUGGGAGUUGUAGGACAAAACACCUGGGGAACCACAGGUUGAGAACCACUGAUCUAGUCUUUUAAGGCAUUUAAAGGCCUGAAACAGUUUUUGUGUGUAUUUAAAUGGAAGAUUAUGCACUUUGAAAGAGGCGCAAAACCGUGUGUCUUACGGAUUUCACUGGUGGGCAGUUGCAAUCCACAGCUCUCAUUUUGCACAUCUUUGGUUUCCUUUUAACAUUUACUUGUUUUGAUUGUCGUAUGCAGUUGUUGCAUCUUGGUGUUGCCCUUUUAUCGUUGAUGAUCUUUUAAAUAUUAUUAAAUUAGUUUUCAUAUGUUUGGACUUGCUGUUUUUCAUUGAAGGCAUAAAAUAUAAAUAAAUUAAAGACCAAUUCUACAUAAAGGUUGACAUAAGAAGAUACCAUGGCAGAUUCACAGCAGGUGUCUACAGUAUAUGAGAUUGUUAAAACCUCUCCCUACAAACUAAUGAGCCUGAACAUAUUUGUUUAGAAACAACCUCUGUUCUUUAUUUAUAAGAUCAUAUAGUUUCCCUAGCAAGAUAUCACCCUGGAUGUUUAUAGAGACAAUAAUUAUAUGCCUAAUAUAGUUUUUUUGUGUGUAGUGGCUGGUGAGAGGAGAGGUAAUUGCUCCUGUAGGAGAAAUUAUUUUUUCUUCAGACAUCGGUCGCUAGUGAAGCAUGUCAUUUAUGCUUACCUAUACUUUUUUUUUGCUUAAAGAAAGGAAAUCCUAAACCGUCAGAUUAAGCUUGAAAGUAUCUGUACUUUUCUUGUCAUGCAACAUUUGUUUUCCUAUGAAAAACCACACUUGGUCUUUGAAAUCAGUUUUCUGAAUGCUUACAUUAGGCCACACCUGUACAAUUUGUGACCCACCACACUGAAUGUAAUGCAUUUUAUAUAUUAUGCCCUCUCAAGUGCUUGAGCCUUCCUUUCCUGUUUUUGCCGUCUAGGUUGGCAGUGCAAAAAGAUUUAUUGAGCAGCUGUCCUAUAUAGCUAGUGACCUGUAUUUGGCUUUGUGGGUCACAACUAGUGUUCUCUUGCAUUUGGCAAAUUAGUAGGGUUAAGAUUCCUGUUGAUGGUGCCAUUGCAACCCAGCAGGCUUUAUAUUAUUAUUAUUUUUAUUAUGGCAGAAGUUUAUUUUUAAAAGGCAUAUUUGAACAUAGGUAGAUCAAUUUUAUAAAUCAUGAAAGUUGUUUUACUUCUCAGAUUGGUGUGGACUAAUCGUAAUAGCUCAUUAUUUAAGAAUUAUGUAACUUUAUAACAUGUAUGAACAGCUGCAAAUGCUUUUCAAAGGGCUUUUUAAAAUGCUUUGGAAAAUCAUAUAUUUUACUUUUUCUAUAUAGUUUAUUAUACUUAUACGAAAAACAUUGUUUGUGAUUGCACAGAAACAUGAAAAUGUUCACUAAUCAAUUCUAGUUUCAGAACUACAGUGAUUACGUGAUAGUUACUGGAUAAUAGAAUUUUUUGUGUAAAAAGUGAAAACAGUUCUUAGCAAAACAAAAAUAGCGUGUUCUUGAUUUUUCAGUGGUCCAUACUUUCCUAUAGGCAAUGCCUUUAUUUUUUGCUUUUUUUCAUUUCAUUAUUAUGCAUUUUUUUUCAUUUGAAUAGAAAUUCCAUAGUUACCAUUCCCUUAAUCCCACAAUAAACUGAAGUUAAAAAACAGAAGUUGCAGUAAUAUCCAGUAAUACAGUCUUAAAAUACAGACAGUUUUAAAAUGUUUCAUUAAAAUGGCAAAGAUCACUAUUAAUUGCUGAAUAUGUUAGCAGUCAAGAAAAUGUCUGGGUGAAAUAAAUAUUAAUUUGGAGCCCCUUCUGAGCCCAGUGAGGUAUCAUUUUAUGUGGUGGCCAAUUUGAAGAGUAGAGUGGUUAGUACAGAGGAAUGUGGUCAUUCAAAUAAUCAGACUUAUGUGUAGGGCUUUAUAAACUUUGAGUGAAUGAAUAAAUGAACUGAUAGAUUUACAAUACUUUUGGUCACAGAUCAGCAUAUAUACAAUCAACAAAAUCAGUACUAUAUUUACAAUGUACAUUAAAAUUUACUCGAUAAAUAUAGGUAAAACAAUUGAAAUAUAUUGACAGUAGUAGCAUUCACUAAUGCAGUUGAUUUCUUUUGUCCAUAAUUUGACAGUAGGUGCACAAAACUUCUAAAAUUAUCAGAGGUUCUCUACCUCUUUUUAAAGUAGUAAUCAUCAUCUACUUGAAAUUCGCUACAUAACGUCAGCAAUAGGGAAAGAGCAAAAGUUCCUAUAACAAUUACAAUAUAAUAGGAUAUGGAUAACAACAACAACAACAGUAAUGUUUAUUUAUUACCCACCUCUUCUCAUGAUUCUUCAUGAUUAACCAUUUCCACCUUAACCAAAUCACACAGAUAUGCUCACUCUAUAUAACAUUUACUUCCAAAUUUAUCCUGAUUUAGUGAUGUUAAGAAAGCAUUUCGUUUAGUUUAGUUGAAAGAUUUCCCAAAUUUAGGAAUGCUCGCCAUCACCACAUACUUUGCUUGUAUAAAUAUAUUUCCCGUACCCUUAAUUUUGGGGUACCUGGCUAUUUCAAACAGGUUGUGUUGCAACUCCAUAUCCCAGCUAUAUUCUUUAAUUAUAAAUUUAAAAUUCCCGUGUGUAUGCGCGUGUGUCUUCACCUAUCAACCUAUGGUAACCCCCAUGAAUUUCAUAAGGUUUUCUUAGGCAAAGGAAUACUCAGAGGUGGUUGUGUCAGUUCCUUCUUUUGAAAUACAACCCACAGCACUUUGUAUUCAUUCGCAGUCUCCCAUCCAAGGAGUAACCAGGACUUAUCAUGAUUAGCCCCAAGAUCAGAUAUGAUCUGGUGAUUUCAUAGACAAGAAUGAUGAAACAUGAUGUGUGAAUCCUAAGCCUCUCACUUCUCCUGUAGCAAAUAUUUUCAUGUUGACGGACAGGUGAUUAUAGUGUUAGAAGAGCCAGAUUCACUAGAGAAAAAAAAGUCAAGUUUUUCUAGUAGUGACUAUUAAGGAAUCAUUCUCAGACUCAGCUGUAGAAACAAUUUUUAUCUGCCAAAUUUCAAAAGGAGAAAAUUUUGUAUAAGUGCAUACUUAGGAGCCGUAUAAAAACUACAAAUUCCCAAAUAACUGCAGGAAUAAAUUGUCCUCCUUUCUUAUAUACCUUUAACUUGAUCAGAGCUCUGCACCAGGACUGUAGGGGCAUGAUAUGAAGUCCCACCGAAGCCAUAAAUGGUUGAAUUUGUGGAUACAGAAUACUUAUGGAUAUGAAGGCUAACUGUACGUAUUUUGCACUGAACAAUAUAACCACUGAUAAACACUUUAUGUUAAAUAGUAGAGCUGAAAUCUAUCUUAUAUAUAGAGUGAUGGAAUCACAGCAGCGGACAAAACGACAAAACUAAACACCCCACAACCUCGAAAAUUGACAGCACAACUCCUCAUCCACGCCUCUAGGUUGAUACAACAAAAAGAAAAGAAAAAUAAAGUCCUAAUUAGAGGGAGAGGAAUAAUUGUUUUUAUCCAAUUGCUGCCAGUUAGAUGGCUAAGCUCCUCCCACUUGGUCUCCUAGCAACCCACUCAGCCCAGGGGACAAGCAGAGUUAGGCCUCACUCAGGCCUCUUCCCCACUGCCUAUAAAAUACAGAUUAUCAUAUUUUUACUGGAUUAUAUGGCAGUAUAGACUCAAGGCCCUUCCACACAGCUAUAUAACCCAUUUAUAAUCUUAUAUUAUCUGAUUUGAACUGGAUUAUCUUGACUCCACACUGCCAUAUAAUCCACUUCAGUGUGCAUUUUAUACAGCUAUGUAGAAGGGGCCUCAUAUAAUCCAGUUCUAAGCAGAUAAUAUAAGAUUAUAAAUAUACAGUAGAGUCUCAUUUAUCCAACAUAAACAGGCCGGCAGAAUGUUGGAUAAGUGAAUAUGUUGGAUAAUAAGGGAUUCAGGAAAAGCCGAUUAAACAUCAAAUUAGAUAAUCAUUAUACAAAUUAAGCACCAAAACAUCAUGUAAGACAACCAAUUUGACAGAAAAAGUAGUUCCAUGUGCAGUAAUGCUAUGUAGUAAUUCCUGUAUUUACAAAUUUACUACCAAAAUAUCACAAUGAAUUUAAAACACUGACUACAAAAACAUUGACUACUAAAAGCCAGACUGCGUUGGAUAAUCUAAUACAUUGGAUAAGCAAAUGUUGGCUUAGUGAGAUUCUACUGUAAUAUGAAAUAAUUACUGUGGUAGAAUAAUACAGAAUAAUAUAAUCUCUAAAACCAGGACAAUAAAUAAGGAGCAACACUCUGAAAGCAGGGAAAUUAGGAAUCCCACAAAGGAAACAAUCAGGGCCAGCUAACACCUCCCAAGAAAGGAUUCUUCCAGAAAGGAAGCUGAGAAGGGAGUGAAGCAGUGUGUAUUACCAAAGUCACUAUUAUUACUAUCAUUAUUAUCAUUAUUAUUAUUAUUAUUAUUAUUAUUAUUAUUAUUAUUAUUAUUAUUAUUGUGUUGCUGUAAACCGUGAAAAUGAAUACAAUCUGCCUCCAAGUAUUCAAAAACACUAAAAUCAGAAUACAGUAGAGUCUCACUUAUCCAACAUAAACGGGCCGGCAGAACGUUGGAUAAGUGAAUAUGUUGGAUAAUAAGGAGAGAUUAAGAAAAAGCCUAUUAAACAUCAAAUUAGGUUAUAAUUUUACAAAUUAAGCAUCAAAACAUCAUUUUAUACAACAAAUUUGACAGAAAAAGUAGUUCAUUACACAUUAAUGCUCUGUAGUAGUUAAUGUAUUUACGAAUUUAGCACCAAAAUAUCACAAUGCAUUGAAAACAUUGACUACAAAAAUGCGUUGGAUAAUCCAGAAUGUUGGAUAAGUGAGACUCUACUGUAUAUAAAAAUUACUGUGGUACAAUAAAACACAACAGUACAAUCUCUAAAGUCUGCUGCCCUGCAGACUAGGAACGGAACAAUGGCUUCAAACUACAGGAAAGGAGAUUCCACCUGAACAUCAGGAAGAACUUCCUCGCUGUGAGAGCUGUUCGACACUGGAACUCUCUCCCCUGGGCCGUGGUGGAGGCUCCUUCUUUGGAGACUUUUAAGCAGAGGCUGGAUGGCCAUCUGUCGGGGGUGCUUUGAAUGCCAUUUCCUGCUUCUUAGCAGGGGGUUGGACUGGAUGGCCCAUGAGGUCUCUUCCAACUCUACUAUUCUAUGAUUCUAUGAUUCUAUGAUUAAUAAAGAACAACACUCUGAAAACAGGGGAAUUCCACACAGGAAACAAUCAGGGCCAGCAAACACCUCCCAGCAAAGUAUUCCCAUCACCAAAGUCUGGCAAAUCCUCUAUUUUCUGACGGCCACUGACAGUAGAAGCAUAGAAAAUAUCGCAAACAACACCACUCUGAAAACAAGGGAAUGCCAGACAGAAAACAAUCAGGGCCAGCUAACACCUCCCAACAAAAAAUUCACUCAGGCAGGAAGCAGCCAGGCUUGAAAGCUGCAUGGCUAUUACAUGCUAAUCAUUUUGCCUAAUUACAGCUUUCAUACUUGCCUCCAACAGACAAAAAAAAAACAACAAUCAGAAAUAUUGUAUAUACAACCUUUACGAAAUAACAUCCUCUGAUGGCGUAGAGUGUUAAAGCGCUGAGCUGCUGAACUUCUGGACCGAAAGGUCGCAGGUUUGAAUUGGGGGAGCGGACAGAGCCCCCCUAUUAGCCCCACCUUCUGCCAACCCUAAAGUUCAAAAACAUGCAAAUGAGAGUAGAUGAAUAGGUACUGCUCCGGCGGGAAGGUGAGGGCACUCCAUGCAGUCAUGCCACAUGACCUUGGAGGAGUCUACGGACAACACCAGCUCUUCGGCUUAGAAAUGGACAUGACCACCAACCCCAGAGUCAGACACGACUGAACUUAAUAUCAGGGAAAAACCUUUACCUUUUACCUUAACUACCACCAAUUCCUCAAUAUUUUAUUUCCCAUACCACCAUACUUCGCCACAGCAACGCUAGUCUAACUAUAAAUUUCCUUAUAUUUCAUUAGAAUUACAGAUAAGAUUGGUGAAAAUGUACUAUAUUGGAAAAAACCCCCAUAAUUUAUUAACACUUUAAGUUCUUGGAUAAACAACUUCUGGGCUAAAUUGCACAUACACAAACACAAGUACUGUAUUCAGGCAUAGGAUGAAAUUUAGCAUUGUUGAGGAAGAUUUCUAGUUUGUACUGAGCAGCAAGCAUAAUGUAGAUCUCCUGGAUGAUGCUUUAUCAGAUAACUGAAUGACAUUCAUUUUAACCAACAGCUACAAUUAAGACAGAGACUAGCCAAUUUUCCAAAACUUCGAAAGCAGUGGUGCUAUUUCUCUCAACAGGCAGGUGCAGACUUGGCCCUUUCUCACUGGCCUUUCCCCCUGAAUUCUCCACUGGAGUCCCUGUAACAGGGAUCUGAAAUUAUUUCAUUUUUUUUUAAAAAAACGAAGAACCAACCAAAAACAAAAGUGUUAAGAUUCUCUUCCUCUCCCUGGCUGGUUUAGACAGGGAAUAUGUUCUACUUGGAAACACCAUAGAGUGGCCUUUCCUUGGCGAAAGGAUCUGCAAUUUAUAAAGAAAGAAAAAGACUUCUGCUUUUGACAAAAUAACCUUUUAUAUGCUGAAAUGGCUGGGAAACUGAGUUUUCUCUUAUUCAUCCUUUGCCUUCAUUUCAAUAAACAUUGGGGAGGUGGGGGCGUUAUUGGAAAGCUGAAGUUCUAUCACCCCAUUGUGGAGGAUGGUGCUAAGAGCUAGCAAGCUCAAAUCAUGUCUAGAAUGGGGUCUAGCCAUGACAGAAACAAGCGAAAGAAUGACUGAAGAAGCUAGUUGUUCUCAUCAUAAAAGUAGACAAGUUUGACUUUCAAACCUGUUAUUUACCUUUGUGAUGAAAACAGCAAGUGAUGGUUUUUGAAGUCAAACCUGUCUUCCAGAGGGACCAGAGGAGCUAUUCAUUUGCCUUUUCUCCAUUUGUUCAGGAGUCAUGUCACAUAAGAAAGCAAGUUACUUUUGCUUAAUGCUGAUUUGGACAGAUCCCUUACAGAUUUUGAAUGAAUAAAAGAUUAAAGAGGAAGAAAUAAUUAAAUAUGUUCUUAUUAAUGAGGCUAUGGGAGAGUAGAACAUAAUAAUCAUUCCCUCUUAUGUUCUGUAGUCUUCAAUAUUAUAUCUAAUUGGUAGAAGGCAGAGCCUUUUGAUCAAGAUGACAUUUGCACAGAACCUGUUUUGGGUAGACUGUAGUUGGUUUUUGCCUUUCUUGCUGGAAUUGACUUUGGGGAUUAUUCAUCCAGUCCUGGAAUAGUUUAUGUAUUGCCAGCUAUUCUACUGGAAUGUGGCAGAGGAGGAGAUAGGACAGAGCAAGGAACUGCUUUUGGCUCUUUUCUCUCUGCCUCUAUUCCUUCAAAAGUCUAGUAGUUGAUGAAAAAUGCUAAGAGAUUCACUGGAGUUGUAUUGCGGAAAUCUUUUCCUGAGUGGCAAUGAAAUUCUAACAAAAAAGUUACGAGUAAAUAAUAGCAAUACAAUCUUAUAUAUGGAGAGGAUUAUAUUCAUAUGCUAUUUAUAUUGUAUUAUAAUAUGUACACUAGUUCUGUACAUUCUUCCACUUUUAGAACUAUGUAACGAAAUUUGAUUUUUUUCUGUUCCUGGUUUGGAAGAGUUAUUCCUGUUUAAUUAUGUGGUACUUACUUUGAAAGUAGUUUUUAUACUCCAGAAACUUUUGGUUGAGACUCUGUGAGAUAUUCAUUGAAAAACUACAGCAAAAUGUGCUGCAAGUUGUCCCACACAAACAACGUUUUUGCUGUUUAAUAAACUUUUCCCAUGUUUUUAUGAUAGAACUAAUUAAGUAAAGGUAAAUGUUUCCCUUUGACUAAGUUUUGUCGAGUCCGACUCUGGGCGGUGGUUCUCAUUUCAAUUUCUAAGCUGAAGAGCUGGCAUUGUCCAUAGAAGCCUCCUAGGUCAUGUGGCUAUCAUGAUAGCAUGGAGCUCUGUUUCCUUCUUGCCGAAGCGGUACCUACUCACAUUUUGCAUGUUUUUGAACUGCUAGGUUGGCAGAAACUGGGGCUAAGAAUAGAAGCUCACCUCACCCCCCAAUUCGAACUGCCACCACAACAUCUGUUAUAGAACUCCAAUAUGCCGAUGACAACGUAGUCUGUGCGCACUCAGAAGAAGACCUACAAGCCACUCUAAACACCUUCGCAGAAGCAUACGAGAAACUCGGCCUCUCAUUGAACACUGAGAAAACCAAAGUGCUCUUCCAACAGGCACCAGCUAAUCCCUCUGCGAUGCCAGGAAUACAGCGUAAUGGUGUAACAUUAGAAAACGUUGACCAUUUCCGCUACCUUGGCAGCCACCUCUCCACAAAAGUCAACAUUGACACUGAAAUACAACACCGCCUGAGCUCUGCGAGUGCAGCAUUUUUCUGAAUGAAGCAGAGAGUGUUGAUGACUGGGACAUCCGUAGAGAGACCAAGGUGCUUGUUUAUAAAGCCAUUGUCCUCCCAACCCUGCUCUACGCCUGUGAAAUGUGGACGGUAUACAGACAUCACACCAAACUCCUGGAGUGUUUCCAUCAGCAUUGCCUCAGAAAAAUCCUGCAAAUCUCUUGGGAAGACAGGCAGACAAAUGUCAGCGUGCUGGAAGAAGCAAAGACCACCAGCAUUGAAGUGAUGCUUAUUGCGCCAAAUUGCUAUGUGUGUGUGUGUAAAGAAAUCCUUGCAAAGUUGCAGAGGCAAGCCACGCCUCAAACAAUGUAUCAGUUUGAUGGCAGAUGGCUGGUUUUGUCAGUUGGGAAUUUGAGCUUCCAGAGAGAGCACAGAAAAGACAUGCUCUCUAGCUACGGUCAAGUAGCAGUUUGAAUAUGCUAUGCUGGAUAUAUUGAAUGCUGAUUGAUUAGUUAUUGAUCCUAUGCAACUACAAGGACAUUGUACGGUUGCUGAACUGUUUAUUUAACUUCAACGCAACAAGUAAAGUUUCUUUGUUAUUUCAAUUCCUCUGCCUGGUCUGAGUCUUUUGCACAUGGUGUUAACUGGACGCUGCUGGUUCCGCUAUACACACACCUGCUAUCAAUGCUCCUACGCCAUCAACUCCACUGGACUGGCCACGUUGUCCAAAUGCCUGUUCACCGUCUCCCAAAGCAGUUGCUCUACUCCGAACUCAAGAACGGGAAACGUAAUGUUGGUGGGCAGGAAAAGAGAUUUAAAGAUGGGCUUGAAGCCAACCUUAAAAACUGUGGCAUAAACUCUGAGAACUGGGAAGCCCUGGCCCUCGAGCGCUCUAAUUGGAGGUCAGCUGUGACCAGCAGUGCCGCAGAGUUCGAAGAGGCAUAAAUGGAAGGCUUAAAGGAGAAACGUGCCAAGAGGAAGGAGCAUCAAGCCAACCAUGACCGGGACCGCCUUCCACCUGGAAACCGAUGUCCUCAUUGCGGGAGAACAUGCAGAUCAAGAAUAGGUCUCUUCAGCCACCUGCGGACACCCCCCCCCCCCAACACCCUAUAACUGGAGGACCAUCAUCCUUGGCCUAUGAGGGAUCGCCUAAGAUGUAAGCAACCACCAUUUUCUAAGUGCUCCUAGACCUGAAUCAGUAAGGGAAAGUGCAACAGGGAAAGUGUCGCUUUUUACCACCUUCUUUUUUCUAGCUUUUUUAAAAAUUUGAUUAAAUGAUUACAAAGAAAAGAGCCCAAAAAGAAAAAGAAAAAAACAGAGAAAGAGGAAAAGGUGGCAAAGUGCGUUAAAGCACUGAGCUGGAGACCGAAAGGUCCCAGGUUCAAACCUCGGGAGCGGUGUGAGCGGCCGCUGUUAGCUCCAGCUCCUGCCAACCUAGCAGUUCGAAAACAUGCCAAUGUGAGUAGAUCAAUAAGUACUGCUCCAGCGGGAAGGUAACGGCACUCAAUGUCGUCAUGCCGGCCACAUGACCUUGGAGGUGUCUACGGACAACGCCGGCGCUUCGGCUUAGAAAUGGAGAUGAGCACCAACCCCCAGAGUCAGACAUGAGUGGACUUAACGUCAGGGGAAACCUUUACCUUUACCCUAUGAACAACAGCUAGAUUUUUAUAAUGAUAUAAGUUGAGCACGUCAUAUAUAUUAACAGCCUUACUGCACGAUCAUGAAUCCACUUUAAAUCCAGUUUCUGCUUCCUGCAGAAUUCUGGGGGUUGUAGUUUAGAGAGGGGCCUUUAAACUGCUCAGUCAGGUCCUGGGCCACACUAAACUACAAAUUCCAGAAUUCUGCAGGAGGUAGAAUCGAUGCUCUAGUGUUAUGAGGCUGAUAGUCUUGAAAUUUAUGUAUAUAAAAUGCAUAUUUAUGGGUAGUGAAAGCAGUAAGAUCUUGUGAUGAGCUUGAGAUUUUUUUUCCUUUUCUUAUGAACUCGGCUAGCAUAUUUAUUUAUUUAUUUAUUUACUCUAUUUAUACCCUACCUUUCUCUACCCCGAAGGGGACUCAAGGCGGCUUACAUAUGGCAAUUAGUCAAUGCCUUAAACACAUACAAAACACAAGCUUAAAAUAAAUUGAAUUAAAAUGAGUACAUAUUAAACAUUUUAAACCAUUACAUUCAAUAUUAAUAUUCUAGUUAAGUAAAUGAAUUUCCAAAUAAGGCUCUGUUAUUAUUUUCCACUUCCGUAUUGGUCAAAAAAAUGAGGAGGAAAAUACUUUAACAGACAAUUUGAAGUGGGGAUACCAUCUAGAAAUCAGAUGACAUACUAAAAUUACUAGUGAAACAUGAAUAAGAGAACAGCUCAUUAUAAUUUUCAUGUCAUUUUUGUGUUGCCUAAGACUUUUAGUAUUUGAGAGUCUACAUUAAUACAGUAGAGUCUCACUUAUCCAAGCUAAACGGGCCGGCAGAAGCUUGGAUAAGCGAAUAUCUUGGAUAAUAAGGAGGGAUUAAGGAAAAGCUAUUAAAUAUCAAAUUAGAUUAUGAUUUUACAAACUAAGCACCAAUACUUCAUGUUGUACAACAAAUUUGACAGAAAAAGUAGUUCAGUAUGCAGUAAUGUUAUGUUGUAAUUACUGUAUUUACGAAUUUAGCACCAAAAUAUCAUGAUAUAUUGAAAACAUUGACUACAAAAAUGGCUUGGAUUAUCCAGAGGCUUGGAUAAACGAGGCUUGGAUAAGUGAGACUAUAGCCAAAAUGACUAAGCCAAAGUAUGUUGUAUAGAUGGACUGUAGGAAUCCCACCAGACUCCAAAUCUUUCAGACCAGCUCUCCUGAGCCUAUAAAUUAAAAGCCUCAAGUAUCAUUUUUAAAUAAAGCAUUUUAUGUGAUUUUUUUCAGUUGAUAAUCAAAUGACACUGUUAUUCAGACUUACUAGAUUUGCAAAUUUACAAGUUUUCACAAGUCAGCUGGAUCCCUUCCUCAGGAAAUCACUUGAAGGCUUUUUUUUCCUGUGUUGACAUAAAGAACUUGGUUGUCUUUAAAUCCUUCUGAAUGUACUUGCCUUAUAAUUUGACAGCACAGAAUCAACACCCUUACAGGGACCGUAAUGCAAUAAAAAGAGAAACUGUUCAAUAUAGCGUCCAGUUACUUUAGGAUUAGAUUUGAAGUGACUGGAAUGUGCACAAUAAAACCCAUACAACGUUAGAGCUCCAUGUUGUCUGAGUUGUAUUAUUUAAACAUUUUCUACCCCCAGUGGAUAUAUAAUGGUGCAAAAUGAAAAUAUUGAAAAUGCACGUCAAUUUCAUCAUACCAUAGUAUGGUUACAAAUAUGAUAUUUGUAUGUUUGUACUGAUAGUUUUGAAAUAUGGGCAAGUUUCUUUUGGGGAAUAAUGUGCUUUUCCUGAAAGAAAAUGUAUAGCCGGUGCAUACUUUAUAUGGAAUAAACUGAAAAUAGGCACGUUUUUAAUGUUCAAGAUUUUUUUAAAUUAAAAAACCAAACUUGGUCUUCUUUAUUUUCUUCUUUUAAUAUCCAGUAAUAGCAUUGCUCAUGACUUUUGAUUAUUCAACUCUCUUUCUGCCCCAAAAGACCCCUCUUUCUUUUUUGCCCUUUAGUUUUAUACUGUUUUCCUGUCGCACCUCAGGCUAAGUUCACCUUGCUAUAGAUACCCAGUCAGACACACAGGUAGUCUUUUGAAGUUUUUAUUAAGCAAAGCAGAAUAUAAAUCAAGCAAGCAAUCAAAAGGUAAUUCAAAGUUGUAGUGAAAGAGUCAAAAGGUCCAAGAGAUUCACAAAGUACAUAAAUGUCUAAUAAACCAAAAGGGUAUAGGUUCAUAGGUUCAAAGAGCAUAGCAGGAACAAUAAUCCAUAAGGCAAAGAAUUAGUCCAUAGAGUCCAAAGCACAAGAUCCAAGAAUCCAAGAUAAUCCACAAGGUGAAGAAUUAGUCCAUAGAGUCCAAAGAACAAGGCCCAAGAAUCCAAGAAUGCUGGCUAGGUAGAACUUCCACACAGAUGAAGCGAUGAAAUUGCACUGACAAAGAAUAGUCUGUGAAAGCAUGCUUUAAUAACAACUUAGGAAUGCAUUCCUCUUCCCACAGCUAGAUUCACGUUUGCGUGCCAAACACUCACUUCUACGGACCUGGGAACCCAUCCAAGACAAACGGUCCUCUCUAGAUAACUCCUCGUUAUCUUGCACCUGGUCAGAAGCUAAACCGUCAUCCCCAUUAUUUUCCAAGGCUGAAGUCUCUCCCUCAAUAUUUCUCAUGUCAGCUUGAUCGUUAUCUGUUUCUCCUGGAAUCAGCAGCUCAUCCUGCAACUGCAUUUCUGAGCUAACUUCUGCCUCAGACUGCUGAUCUUGAAUCCCAAAUCCAGAAUCCCCAGAAUCCCCUCCAUCUUCAUCUAUAAUCUAGCCAGCCUGUGGCUGGGAUACAACAUUUCCAUGUGAUGUUAUUAGUUCAUUUGCAAAUUUUAAACUACUUGCUAAUUAAUUCCUGUCAUCUUCCAGUCAAGCUUAAUAAAUAAAUUAGCGAAUUGCCUCCACAAUUUAUGCAAUAUUAUGUAUUAGAGCAUAUUUGGCCCCCGACCUAAACUUUAGACUUAGAGUUGCCUUAAAGUCUGAAACAAUUUGAAGGCACACAACGACAAUCCUAAUUAACUUGAUUAUUUCAUCAGCCAAAAGCAGUCCCACAAUUCCCAUUGAAAUACUGGUACGUCUAUAUUGGUUAAAAUUGUUCUUCAUUUUCAAUAUGGUAUUGUUCUUUCAUUUUUUGUACUACAAAUAAGAUAUUGCAGUGUGCUUAGGAACUUGUUCAUGUUUUUUUUUUCAUCUAUAGUCUACUCCUUCCAACAGUCUAAGGGACCGUGAACUGACCCUCAGCUUAAAAAGUGUGAGGACCCCCUGUUAUAGAAAAUAUUUUUUUUUGAAUGAGGAGAGAGGUAGAGGAUACAUUUUUUCAAUAAGCAUUAAAAAUCUCCUGAUUAAGAAUCAGGUGUGAUUGAAUCAGAGGAGUAUAUCCUGACUUGUUUUCAAACAAAAAAUACUACAGAAACAAAGAAGAAAUGUUGUGUACACUUGGUGCGAAUAGAAAAGCAAUACCUAUACAAAAUGUAUAGGAGUCCACUUAGAUGUGAGAAACCUGUUAAGUGUAAAUAAAAAAAUUCCUAUUUAAAUGAAGGUCAGUUAUAAGAAAGAUAUUGAGAACAGGCAGGCAUAAAAAACGGAGAAUUAUGUCAGUUCAGUAUUGCUGUUAUGUUUUAUACUGUUGGAGCCCCCAGUGGUGUAGCGGGUUAAAUCACUGAGCUACUGAACUUGCUGGCCGAAAGGUCGGGGGUUUGAAUCUGGGGAGCGGGGUGAGCUCCCACUGUUAGCCCCAGCUUCUGCUAACCUAGCACUUCGCAAACGUGCAAAUAUAAGUAGAUCAAUAGGUACCACUCUGGUGGAAAGGUAACAGUGCUCCAUACAGUCAUGCCAGCCACAUGAUCUUGGAGGCGUCUGCGGACAACGCUGGCUCUUUGGUUUAGAAAUGGAGAAGAGAAUCAACACAACUAGCCUUAAUAUCAGGGGGAAACCUUUACCUUUACCUUUAUAUUGUUAACAUUUACCCAGUCAUGUUUUUGAUGUUGAAUUAAUUUAAAGUUUCAAUGGUAGCAGCUACAUUCUCAAAAUUUCUUUCACAUGAAAUUUCAUGUAAAUCAUCAUUAUCUCUAUGUAAUACUUUACAAGUAAAAGCCAUUCACUGUUUUCAGGCUUACAAUCUAAAAUGGAGCAAGAUUGGUGGGGGGUUUUUUUUUGGGGGGGGGGGGUGAGUUGAAUUUUCCCAGUCCUAAAAGGGGCUGCUUAGUCCUGGAUACAGCUACCAAACUACUUAUCUGCCUUGGACCUUGAGGUAGAGUGACUGAAUCCAUAUCCACCGUACAUGUGCCAGUCUAUGACUAGGGGCUUCCAGAUCUCGCAGCCCUGCCCCUGUCGCUACUCACUGAUCGCCAUGGAACUUUUGUUGGUUUUAUUUUUCUUGGAAGACUCCUGUGCAUGAAUUUGAUUUAUGUUUGGAGGUCAGUGCACAGCUGAUGAACACAGAGUCUUCACAAAAUGAGGGUCCCAUCCAGUGGCAUGAAUUAACCUGACGACUAUUGACUUCUCAUUUGUUGCAGCCGCCUUCUGCCUUCACAGCUGUUCUGACAUGUGCCAUGUUAUCGGACGUCUGCUCCGCUGUUGAAGACUUCAGAUUGUGCUUGGUCUGGUUUCUCCCCUGUGGCCCUUCCGCUCAGGGAAACCCUCCUGGGAGCACAUUCACAUCUGCUCGGAAAAGCGAUUCUGAAUGCUGUUCAUCUUGGCUGCUGUGUUUUUUUGGCAUGGUCACAUGUUUGUGACUGAAAAAAGUUGGAUUGUGUUAAAUGCUACAAUGAUUCUCCUCCAUCUCUUCUUCCUCCUCCUGGCUAUCCUUUCUAUUGCUGUUAACGUCAUCUGGUGCAUUUCUCCAAAUUCAGUGACUCAUUUUGUCUUUCAGAGAAAAGAGAAAAUUGUGGUUAUAAUGCUAUAAUCUGAUCGUCAUAAUCCACAAUUGGUGACUAGUGGAAAAUAAUUUUACAAUAUGUUCCAAUAAACGUCAUUACGCUAAUUUUUUUUUUCUUUCCCCUGAUUUUUUUUAG